rnacentral:rRNA from 1 species
AGUCGAACGGCAGCACGGGAGCAAUCCUGGUGGCGAGUGGCGAACGGGUGAGUAAAGUAUCGGAACGUGCCCAGUCGUGGGGGAUAACGUAGCGAAAGCUACGCUAAUACCGCAUACGAUCUAUGGAUGAAAGCGGGGGAUCGCAAGACCUCGCGCGAUUGGAGCGGCCGAUAUCAGAUUAGGUAGUUGGUGGGGUAAAGGCUCACCAAGCCGACGAUCUGUAGCUGGUCUGAGAGGACGACCAGCCACACUGGGACUGAGACACGGCCCAGACUCCUACGGGAGGCAGCAGUGGGGAAUUUUGGACAAUGGGCGCAAGCCUGAUCCAGCAAUGCCGCGUGCAGGAUGAAGGCCUUCGGGUUGUAAACUGCUUUUGUACGGAGCGAAAAGGCUCUCUCUAAUACAGGGGGCUCAUGACGGUACCGUAAGAAUAAGCACCGGCUAACUACGUGCCAGCAGCCGCGGUAAUACGUAGGGUGCGAGCGUUAAUCGGAAUUACUGGGCGUAAAGCGUGCGCAGGCGGUUAUGUAAGACAGAUGUGAAAUCCCCGGGCUCAACCUGGGAACUGCAUUUGUGACUGCAUAGCUAGAGUACGGCAGAGGGGGAUGGAAUUCCGCGUGUAGCAGUGAAAUGCGUAGAUAUGCGGAGGAACACCGAUGGCGAAGGCAAUCCCCUGGGCCUGUACUGACGCUCAUGCACGAAAGCGUGGGGAGCAAACAGGAUUAG